CAUCAGAUAGCUUAAAGUAAGCAAAAGCCUCUUAAGCUUAAAGAUGCUAGCUAACGCCUAGCUCUGAUGG
rnacentral:tRNA from 2 species